rnacentral:rRNA from 1 species
AUUGAACGCUGGCGGCAUGCUUUACACAUGCAAGUCGAACGGCAGCGCGGGCUUCGGCCUGGCGGCGAGUGGCGAACGGGUGAGUAAUGCAUCGGAACGUGCCCAGUAGUGGGGGAUAGCCCGGCGAAAGCCGGAUUAAUACCGCAUACGACCUGAGGGUGAAAGCGGGGGACCGAAGGGCCUCGCGCUAUUGGAGCGGCCGAUGUCGGAUUAGCUAGUUGGUGGGGUAAAGGCUUACCAAGGCGACGAUCCGUAGCUGGUCUGAGAGGACGACCAGCCACACUGGGACUGAGACACGGCCCAGACUCCUACGGGAGGCAGCAGUGGGGAAUUUUGGACAAAGGGGGCAACCCUGAUCCAGCCAUGCCGCGUGCGGGAAGAAGGCCUUCGGGUUGUAAACCGCUUUUGUUCGGGAAGAAAUCCUCUGGGCUAAUACCCCGGGGGGAUGACGGUACCGGAAGAAUAAGCACCGGCUAACUACGU